AUGACGUCCAGGUCCUCUUCAAGAGCAGGUAAGAAUAUUUAUAAAGUCCGAUGGAAAGGAUAUGCGUCUGAAGGUGAUACCUGGGAGCCUGAGGUUCAUCUGAGGACUGUAAGAAUUUCUUCUUGAAUUCAGGAAGAAAGUUGCUGAGAACAAAGCCAAAGUAGUCAGGAAAGAUAUUCAGAGACUGUCUUUAAACAACGACAUGUUUGAGGCAGACAGGGAUAGCCAUCAGCAAAGCCACCCAAAAGAAGAUACUCUACCAAGGAAGAAAAAGAAAAAAAAAUGAAGUGCAAAGAAGAGAAAAGUCAAGAUGUUCUGAGGAAAAAAAUGGCAAGAAUGGGAAAAGUAAAAGAUAAGUUCAAGACAGAGCUGGAGAGCAUCUCUGAAAUUUUAGGUUUUGAUGUAAAGACAAAGAAAAGAAUUUGGGAAGUCAAGGAAGAAUUAAAGGACUCCAAAAAGCCCAAAAAGGAUGAAAUAAAGGAAACAAAGGGAUUAAAGAAAGCUAAUAAAAGGGCUGAAAUAAGAAAUUUAAAGAUUAAAAUAAGAGAUGUCAAAGACAACAACAACAACAAAAAACAACAAAAAGAGAGAGAUAUAUAGACUCUCCACUGGAGUCUGAAUCACCUAUGAUUCCCUCAUUCUAGAGCAUGAAAGUGAAGACUUUCCAACAACAAAGAAGAGAAUCAGAGUCUGAGAACUGUAAGAGAUAAGACAGGACAGGAUACAAUGCAAGAGGGUAUUUUUGAGAAGCAUCUGGACGACCUUUUAAGUAUUGAAGAGGAAGCUAGUACCUGAGUUAGAAGGAAGAAGACAAAGCCAAGAAAGUUUAAGGAACCAAAAGAGAUCAAGAAGCUUGAAAACGGGAAUACCUUUUUAGAAAGGAAAACAAUACCCAAAAAGCAAAGAAAUCAAAACAAAGGCAGAAGAAACGUAGAGUUAAAUAAGUUACCAUCACCCGUGUUUGCCCAACCCUGAAAAGUUCCAGACUGAGUGGGGAAGAGAAGAGCCUCAAGUCCUCUGACCUGGCCAAAGAGGAGAAAGAGAGAAAAAGAGAACCCAAAGAAAAAUACCAGAAAAGGUAUGAUUUGGACAAAGAAGAAAAAGCCAGAAAAGAGCCAAAGGGAUUUAAACCAUUUACGAAAUCAGAAAUGCAUUUGAUUUAUUUAAAAAAAAAACAGAAAAAAAAGAUGUUCUUGAGAAUAAUUCAAAAAGAGAAGAAAUAUCAAUGGAUUAUAAAAUUACAAAUGAUAACAAAACCAAGGGCAAGUGUUCACUUAAAGAGAAAAGAAAUACUCGAGAUGAGACUGACACUUGAGCAUACAUUGCUGCAGAAGGGGAUCAGGAAGUUUCAGUGUAUCCCAAAUAGAUGAGACGCCUGAUGGCAGGCAACCAAUUUUGAAUUUGGGGAUGGACUUGCAGUUGGAUGAAAUUAGAAGAUUUUCAAAAGUACCUUGAUAGGGAAGAUGAGCCCUUUAUCUUAACAAAUAGGAUUCCAAGUAAUUUGUUGAGGGAUGCUGUGAAAAAUGGAGAGUAUAUUUGCUGUGAAGGUUGCACUGAACUCAAAUGAAGAAUACAACUUGGAUCAAGAGGAUUCCACUGGGAUGACCCUGGUGAUGCUGGCAGCAUGUGGUCAGGACGACCUCCUUAGACUCCUUAUCACCAAAGGUGCAAAAGUGAACAAGCACCAGCAAAACAGGACUACAGCUCUCAUUCAUGCCGCUGAGAAGAACUUUUAAAAAAACAACUGUAGCUAUUCAUUUGGAAGCUGGAGCUUUUGUAAGUGUCCAGCAAAGCAAUGGUGAGACUGCACUCAUGAAAGCAUGCAAAAGAGGAAAUUCGGAUAUUGUCUGCCUUGUGAUCGAAUGUGGAGCCUAUUGCAACAUUCUGUCAAAGCAUCAAAAUAGUGCAUUGUACUUUGCAAAGCAGUGUAAUAAUGUGCUUGUAUAUGAACUGCUGAAGAGCCACUUGGAGACACUUUCGAGGGCUGGAGAAACAAUCAGGGAUUACUUUGAAUCUCGCCUUGCUCUACUGGAACCUGUUUUCCCAAUAGCAUGUCAUCGGCUCUGUGAGAGGCCAGACUUCUCAACAGAUUUCAAUUAUAUGCCCCCUCAGAACAUGCCUGAAGGCUCUGGUGUCCUCUUUAUUUUCCAUGCAAACUUUUUGGGUAAGGAUGUUAUUGCUAGGCUUUGUGGACCAUGCAGUGUACAAGCUGUGGUUUUAAAUGAUAAAUUUCAACUUCCUGUUUUUCUGGACAGUCACUUUGUUUAUUCAUUCAGUCCUGUUGCUGGCCCCAAUAAGUUGUUUAUAAGGUUGACGGAAGCACCCUUUGCCAAGGCUAAGUCGCUAGUAUGUGCAUACAGAGUACAGCUGCAGCGACCAUGAAGGAUUGAGAACCGGCCUCUUUGAGAACCAGCCUCUUUUCAGCUGCAUUCCCAAGUACCAUCUUUGUAGCAGUUUGGAAUUUUGGUGCACCUCAAAAGUUCAUACAUGGUUUUACCUGUAAACUUACAGUUUAAACCUGUUGCCUGUUUAGGUUUAUCUACAUCUAUUUGUGACAUUGUUCGAAAACGUUCAAUGUUCUGCUUAGUUUAUUUCCACAAUGUGGAACAGUACAUAUAAGAAAUAUUUAAGGAAAUUAAACACUUUUGAAUUGAAAAAAUGAAUAACACAGGGGGUGAAUAUGACACAAAUGCAUGGUAUGUGUGCAUGGGAAUGCAACUAUAAGUCUCUAACAUUUAUGCAGUUGCAAUGUGCUAAAAAAGGUUAUUGAGCCAAGCAAGUGGGACAUAAAACAGAUUCGAGAAACAGUUGUAGUCAC